rnacentral:misc_RNA from 1 species
AAAGUCGUAACAAGGUUUCCGUAGGUGAACCUGCGGAAGGAUCAUCACUGAUUCUUGGGUGUUGUGUGUUGUGCGUGUGUGUUUUUCACGCACGCGCCGCCACCGCCCCAACCAAUCUUUUGUGCACGGUUUCACGGUCAACGAGGCGCCGCGCGUGUGUUGGCGAGUCAGUCCCCCCAGUGGGGGGUGGUGACUUGCCAACCGCAUGCGUCCGUGCGUUCUCUGCUUGCAAUCUCUUGUGCAAUUUCCUGUCUAACGUUACCUAAAUUAACACACAUACAACUUUCAACAAUGGAUCUCUUGGCUCUC